rnacentral:lncRNA from 1 species
AGUUGGGGUUUUCCUCUAAGGAAUCCGACGGGAUAACGAGUUUCGUGGUAGGCGAUUACUAUGCGGCCUAUGGUAAUUUGUGAUGGACUAAUUGGAGCACCCCUGUAGGGUUUAAUUUUUUGGAAAGCCGUGCCUGCGGUUAUGUGGCAAAUUUGGAUAUUUUGUUAACAUCCGGUUCUAGACAACUUAAAGUAAUUCAAAUAAAACUUGCCAGCUGAGUGUGUAACCGUGACUGUUUCCUUCAGAGCUCCUUCUUUGAUCGAGAACACGGUAGGGUUAUGAAUGACGUAAGUAGAUGCUCAUGAUCACUUAGUGAUCAUUCUAGUCUUCGACCGUCUUACGUAGACCACCACAUGCUAUUCUGUUCUUCUUAAGUUAGCCACCAUAUAUGC